UGGGGAAUUUUGGACAAUGGGGGAAACCCUGAUCCAGCCAUCCCGCGUGUGCGAUGAAGGCCUUCGGGUUGUAAAGCACUUUUGGCAGGAAAGAAACGUCAUGGGUUAAUACCCCGUGAAACUGACGGUACCUGCAGAAUAAGCACCGGCUAACUACGUGCCAGCAGCCGCGGUAAUCCGUAGGGUGCAAGCGUUAAUCGGAAUUACUGGGCGUAAAGCGUGCGCAGGCGGUUCGGAAAGGAAGAUGUGAAAUCCCAGAGCUCAACUUUGGGGCUGCAUUUUUGGCUACCGGGCUAGGGUGUGUCAGAGGGAGGUGGGAUUCCGCGUGUAGCAGUGAAAUGCGUAGAUAUGCGGAGGAACAGCGAUGGCGAAGGCAGCCUGCUGGGAUAACACUGACGCUCAUGCACGAAAACGUGGGGAGCAAACAGG
rnacentral:rRNA from 1 species